rnacentral:rRNA from 1 species
GUGCCAGCCGCCGCGGUAACACGUACUGUGCGAACGUUAUUCGGAAUCACUGGGCUUAAAGGGUGCGUAGGCGGCGAUUCAAGUCAGAUGUGAAAUGCCUGAGCUCAACUGAGGCAUUGCGUUUGAAACUGAUUUGCUAGAGUAUUUCAGGGGUGUGCGGAACUGCCAGUGGAGCGGUGAAAUGUGUUGAUAUUGGCAGGAACACCGGAGGCGAAAGCGGCACACUGGGGAAUUACUGACGCUGAGGCACGAAAGCUAGGGGAGCGAACGGGAUUAGAAACCCGGGUAGUCC